rnacentral:lncRNA from 1 species
ACCUUUAUAUCCUUAUCAAUUUAAUUUAAUCGUUAUUUAGUUGUUUGGAUUUUUAAGUGUUUACCUUUAGAUUUAAUUAAUGGUUGACUUUCCGAUGUUGGGUUUUAUUCGAUUAGUCGAUUUUUUUUGUGUUAGUUAAUAUAAUUAGGUUAUUGGUAUCCAUGUUCAUACCUUUACACAUGUAAAUAAUCACAUUCAAA